rnacentral:tmRNA from 1 species
GGGGGUGCUCUGGUUUCGACAGGGUUACCGAAGUGUUAGUUGCAAGCCGAGGUCUCAGACGAGGGCACUCGUAAAAAAGUCUGAAAAAAAAUAAGUGCUGACGAAAACUACGCACUCGCUGCCUAAUUAACGGCAACGCCGGGCCUCAUUCCGCUCCCAUCGGGGUGUACGUCCGGACGCAAUAUGGGAUAGGAUGCACCCAUGCCUAGGGAGUGUGUCCGAGAUUUACUAGGCUGGUCAAAGUCCGCGCCGACC